AGCCCAGCAGGGCCAGCAGACAGCACAGGCUGUCCCACAACAUUGUCUCUUUCAAACCGAUAGGGAGGAGAGUCCGGGAGCUGAGGGACAGAGAUGGACGGACAUCAGACAGUGGUGGAGGAUUGCCAACGUCUUGGGUUUCAAUGGCUGCGGUUACAUUCUGGGAUGAAGCUCUCACUUACAAAGAGCUUCUCUCCGCUCCAACCACCCACAGCGCUUCCCGCUGCUCCCUGCACUAUGUCUCGCAAACAAACCUGCUGCAAUAAAGUGUGACAUCAUAUCAA